GGGAAAGUGGCUCAGUGGUAGAGUGCUUGCCUUGCAUGCAUGAGGCCCUAGGUUCGAUUCCUCAGCACCA
rfam:Dipodomys ordii contig_31889, whole genome shotgun sequence.